UUAGGACUAAUACUUGAAACUCAUCAAGUACCAAGAUUGUCAUUCAAAUCAUGUUGUUGCUGUUCGAUAUGUACCGAUUUCGCUAGCACUCGACACGAGCGAUAUUAAAGUACAUAUCUGUUUGAUUAAUAGUUACGGCGAUUCAUCAAGUCAAGAGUAUAUACAUGCACACAUGUACACGUAUCAUCAUCUAUGCACGUAUCUGGACACGCAUACGCAGAUAGAACUGGCAUGCUCCACAUAGAUACUGGUUUGAAACGAAUCCUACAAAGAAUUCAAAAUACCAACUUAGCAUUGACUAUCUCGCGCUACCUUAAUGCUUUUAUAUCCUCUAAACUGCUACUGGCUACUGCCUUCUUUCUCAUCCUCUUUCUUCCUUCCAGUCGUUCCUCUUUCACGACAAGAAAACGAGGAGUUCGCGUGCGUGUCUUGAAGCUAUGCAACAGGGAGAGAUCCAGGGAAGCUGGUACGAGAGAUAAACCAAUACCGAGGCCGGUAGCGAGCAGUGCGUGACACGUUGAACCGUGUGUACUGUGUGUGUUGGCGCCAGGCCGCAUUCUCGCAUUCGUUAACUAACACAUCGAGUUAAGUCCCUCCGCAGCUCGUGCCUUGUUCUCCCUCGCCUUCCCCUACCUCCAUCAUCUCCACCUCCUCCUCACCAACCCUCUACCCCGUCCCGGGAACCCUUCGCGAUAUUAAGAGCGGUCACGGAUCCCAAAUUUGCCAUCCGUAGAGAGGCGGGACACCGAUUUGUCCUCGUCCCGUUUGCACGCCACCGGUACGUGGUAAGAUGACCGGUUUCUACUGGUGUACAUCGGUCGCCAAUCGUGUUUCGGAACAAAGUGGUUCUCCAGAGGAGACUACAUCCGUGUCCAGCUAUCGAAACUUAUUGUCUCGGGUGAUUAUCAAUCGUGAUAUCGUUUCAUCCUUGAAACCCGAUGACGCACGUUGAUCGACUCCGAAGACGGAGUUACGGUAGAGUAUAUUAAACAAUAAAACGCCAACUGCCUCGCUUAUUCGUUGUAUAUUUUAUGCGCAACUUCUUCCACUUCUUCAAGUAUUUUCUCGUUUAUCUUUGUGGUCAAGGCGAGUUCCAUUUAAAAAAGCUUCUUCGACAGAUAUUCAUGGGACAUUAACGAUACGAAGCGGGGACACGGAGUCGUGCCCAGAAGUUCCUUUCUUCUCUCAUCGAGGAAAAGCGCGAUGAUGCAUCGUGUCAAUGGAAUUCAUAGAAACCGGUCGGUGAAAACGCGAGCCGCGCGGAUCGUGAGAUUGUAUUUACUGUCGCUUCAAUGAUCCACGGAGAGACGACCGUCGAGCGCAGCGGAUAAGGAGCUUCGAGAGACGAUAAAAGAAUCGAACGUUAUCGCACGAAUUAGUGACGGUUAUUGUACCUGAGAUGCUAUUGCAGGGAACCAGUGGCAGGACCGUGGACCGCGUUAAACAUCGUGUAAAAGCUUGACAGUGAAAACGAUAACGGAGAAUGACGAAAACGACGAAGAGAGGAUGGAGAAUUUCAACGGAUUAACAUUCCAGCAGCGUUCCUAACCACUUCGAAAUUCAUCGUGACAACGCGAACGAUAAGAAGAAUCUAUAAGAAGAAUCAGGCGAAGCUUUUUAAUGGUUUUUGAUCAGCUCGAAGUCUACCUUGUCACCAAACACGAUAAGAGAUACAACGAUGUUAACAAUGGUAAAAAAUGACGAGUAUCACUGACUUUAUUAAAUGUGUAUUCUAGAUGCGUUUUUUGAUGGUUUGUUCGUGAACGUUUGACGCGCAGAGGCAGUAUACGUAUAGGAUGAUAAUAAAAAAUGUAAGUUUCACCGAAUCAACGUUCCAAGAACAUUCUUAUUAAUUCAUCUACCUGGAAAUACGUUGUGACAACUAAAAUGAGUAGCACGAAGAUUUCAGCCAUGUCGUCCCACGAUUUUCAUAUAUCAAGCUUCAACGCGACAAUAGCACGGUAAUAAUAAGAAUGAGAAGAAGCAUAAAGAAAAAGAACGGUGAAGAUCUACAAGUUUCAUCGAACCAACAUUCCAAGAGCGUUCUUGGCAGUUCACCUACCUCAAAAUCCAUUCUCCCUCUCUCCUGAGAUACCUAUGGCGCUUAGCCACGAUCUCCAAAGCGUGAUUCGAAGGAAAGGGUGCGAUCUUACCGCGUUGACAGUAUCACAGGUAAAAGAAGAAAGUGAGAAAAUAAAAAAACGAAGAUAUGCAAUAAUAAGAGAGGAGUGGCAUAACUCGCACAUAAUGCGUCGCAAUUAACCCCCCUCGCUUACAUGUAAUUUUAAUAAGUACGCGUUACGGUAUGUAUAAAUUUGCAUAGGCACACAGAACGUAAUAAGCACCUGGAAUUAAUGUUAUCGCGCGCGAGGCAGUAGCCGGGAUUAAAAAUGUGUCCGAGCGUUUGCAUGGAUGAGAGAACGGUCGUGGUCCGGUCAUGGACCAAAAGAAAUGCAAAAGGAAACUCGAAUAUAUGUAUAAAAUUCGUGUUGCGAUAGCACGUUUACAUCGUUUAACAUGUACCAUAUAUUUGACUCGAUUGUUAAAUAAUCAUCAAGAUACAGUAUGAUGUGACUUUGCUUUCAAGGUAUCAACCGUUUAUGAAGUCCGAGUGUCGGUCGUACGUGUCGUCUACUAGCUGCUACAACAGAGGAAGAAAGAUGACAAGGAAAAGAGAGAGAGGAAAAGAGAUAAACAAGCAGAAGACAAGGAGAGUAAGAAUAAAAGAAAGAGAGGGAUCUACGAGCGAAUUAUCUGGUAUUUUCUUUCAGCCUGCGGACGGCUAAGCAAAGGUCAAAAGUUGAGCAAUGCUAUCCUUAUCGAUGCAAACACCGCCUUCGCAUAUGCAGUGCGCAAGCAUCGAGAGAUUGGCGGGACUUCUUGCCUUCUCGCGUGAAAACGUUCACGCUAGUCACGCUGGUGCCAUUGUCGAAGAAAAUCUUGAUCGCGUGCCGCACCAAUUUUUCUCCCUGAUUUCCGCUUUGCCGUGACACUUUCGAGAGGCUUUACCGUUGCUACUUAUAUAUCGACGAAUUACUUUCAGUGAAUCGUCCAGAGAAGAGAACGAUAUCGAGAUACUCGUGAAUCAUAGAGCAGGUUAUAGGAAGCACCCGAUUAUUAGAAUCGUUAAAGAUGUAUCACGAACGAGAAGACUUAUUGCGAGGAUCUUGUGAACCCUCGAGACUCGUGCUCGAUAGAAACCGCACGACGAAAUUAAGGGAGCACGCAUGGUUGUUUCACGUGCGGAACUUCCGGUUGCUGAUCCGUGCGAACACACACAAGCGACAAAUAGAUUGACGAUUGCCGAUAAAAAGAUAGAAACGGAUGGAAAGCGAGAGAAGGGGCAAAAGAGGAGAGACUCGAGUCGGUGUACACACAUAAUGUACGAGUCCUGAGAGGAGUCGGAGUCCCUCCCGGAGG